AUACGGAGGAUCCGAGCGUUAUCCGGAUUUAUUGGGUUUAAAGGGUGCGCAGGCGGGAGAUUAAGUCGGCGGUGAAAUUUUGCAGCUCAACUGUAAAAGUGCCUUCGAAACUGGUUUCCUUGAGUGUAGAUGAAGUAGGCGGAAUUUGUGGUGUAGCGGUGAAAUGCAUAGAUAUCACGAGGAACUCCGAUUGCGCAGGCAGCUUACUAAACUACUACUGACGCUCAGGCACGAAGGCGUGGGGAUCAAACAGGAUUAGAUACCCUGGUAGUCCACGCAGUAAACGAUGAUUACUAGCUGUUUGCGAUACAAUGUAAGCGGCUGAGCGAAAGCGUUAAGUAAUCCACCUGGGGAGUACGUUCGCAAGAAUGAAAAUCAAAUGAAUUGACGGG
rnacentral:rRNA from 1 species